rnacentral:rRNA from 1 species
GAUGAACGCUGGCGGCGUGCCUAAUACAUGCAAGUCGAGCGAACGGACGGGACUCUUGCUUGUCUUAUGUUAGCGGCGGACGGGUAAGUAACACGAGUAUAACCUACCUUUAAGACUGGGAUCACUUCGGGAAACCGGAUCUAAUACCGGAUAAUAUUUUGAACCUCAUGGUUCAACAGUGAAAGACGGUCUUGCUGUCACUUAUUGAUGGAUCCGCGCUGCAUUAGCUAGUUGGUAAGGUAACGGCUUACCAAGGCAACGAUGCAUAGCCGACCUGAGAGGGUGAUCGGCCACACUGGAACUGAGACACGGUCCAGACUCCUACGGGAGGCAGCAGUAGGGAAUCUUGCGCAAUGGGCGAAAGCCUGACGGAGCAACGCCGCGUGAGUGAUGAAGGUCUUCGGAUCGUAAAACUCUGUUAGUAGGGAAGAACAUAUGUGUAAGUAACUGUGCACAUCUUGACGGUACCUAAUCAGAAAGCCACGGCUAACUACGUG